rnacentral:SRP_RNA from 1 species
AACAAUGUCAUUACAACCUUGGUGGCGAAAUGUGUCAGGUCAGAAAUGAAGCAGCACUAAGCAUAAUCCUUUGUGUGUAGUGACAUUUUAAUA